rnacentral:lncRNA from 1 species
UUGCAGCCAGAAGUUUUAUACAAGAGGAGAUGGAAAAACAGCACCUGCUAACAGAACAAACUCCCACGCCCCAUCAUAAACAAGGAAACCACAACACCCAGCCACAGAUAGAUCCGGCUAUUAUUCAAGGAUUCUACUCAUUUUUCUAAAUACCAGGUGAGAUAAUGAAUUCGGUUCUUUAGAACAUCUGGUCUUUAAGUUACAAAGUUAAAUAGCAUAUUGUGUCCACUUAAUAAAAAUUUAUUGAUGUACCUAAGAAAUUAGGCUUGUCUAUGGCAGUUUUCUAAUAAAUGUAAAUCUGAACGUAACUGGGCCCAAUAGGAUUAAACUGCUGGAAUCGGG